UACGUAGGGUGCGAGCGUUAAUCGGAAUUACUGGGCGUAAAGCGUGCGCAGGCGGUUUUGCAAGCCGGAUGUGAAAUCCCCGGGCUCAACCUGGGAAUGGCAGUGGAUACUGGAAAGCUAGAGUGCGGUAGAGGGUAGUGGAAUUCCCGGUGUAGCAGUGAAAUGCGUAGAGAUCGGGAGGAACACCAGUGGCGAAGGCGGCUACCUGGACCAGCACUGACACUGAGGCACGAAAGCGUGGGGAGCAAACAGG
rnacentral:rRNA from 1 species